CAGAAACUACAAAGGAAGUUGACGGGACCCGCACAAGCAGCGGAGCAUGUGGUUUAAUUCGAAGCAACGCGAAGAACCUUACCAGAUCUUGACAUCCAAUUGACCAUCUUUUAACCGUAGAUUUUGCCUUCGGGUACAAUUGAGACAGGUGGUGCAUGGUUGUCGUCAGCUCGUGUCGUGAGAUGUUGGGUUAAGUCCCGCAACGAGCGCAACCCUUGUGUUUAGUUGCAAACAGGUCAAGCUGUGCACUCUAGACAGACUGCCGUGGACAACACGGAGGAAGGUGGGGAUGACGUCAAAUCAUCAUGCCCCUUAUGAUCUGGGCUACACACGUGCUACAAUGGCCGGUACAACGGGCAGCGAAGGAGCGAUCCGGAGCGAAUCCUAAAAAGCCGGUCCCAGUUCGGAUUGCAGGCUGAAACUCGCCUACAUGAAGUUGGAGUUGCUAGUAAUCGCGAAUCAGAAUGUCGCGGUGAAUGCGUUCCCGGGUCUU
rnacentral:rRNA from 1 species